UUUUGUAAACAAACCGGCGGCUGUGUGAUGGGCCAUGGAUCCCAAAGGGAAAAAUAGAAAAAUAACUGAGGAGAACAGAGGAUUCAACGUUUCUUGGACCGAAUCAUUUGCAUUCAUUGCAUUCAUCUUACAUGCCCGAUGUUGAGAAGCUGACCAGUUUUGUCAGAAAACAGAAGUCACAUUAAACGGGAUGAAGGAUGGACCAAAGGCGCCAUGGAGAAACAAGGCUAACACGCGCAACAGGUUAAAUGUAUGUGAGCGUGCCCUCAUUGAAGAGGCGAGGGCCAUCACAGGAACAUCUGCUCCAUCUAAUUAGGAUGCUUCCCACAUGGAAUCCUAUCAACUAUUCAUCAUCUAGAGGAGUGAAGGAAAGAGGGCGACAGAGAGACAAUAGGCUUUGUGGUUGAGCAUACCUGAAAGGUACCCACCUGUUUUCACUAGGAAACUUUUCUUCCUUCUUCUGGCACCCUCCUCGACCAAUGAGCGGACAGAAUGCUAAUCAGAGAAUCCAUGCAAGAGCUUUGUUUAUAGACAUAGCUUAUUACAGUGGAGUAAGUAAGUAAUAAAUAAUCGCUGCUUUGUCUUAGACUAUGGGCUGUUAUCAGACAAGCCGAGGGCUGUCAAAUGAUUAGAAAAAAGUCAGAUUAAUCACAUAUAAAAAAUGUAUUAAUCAUGAUUAAUCACGGUUUACAAAUGAACUGAUUAUGUAAGCCGAGUGAAAAAGAUAGCACACAAAUCUAAAAAUCUAUUUCUCUAACACUAGUUUCUUGAAUAGUAGCAGAACAUUUGAAUCACAAUUUAAACCGUGUUAUUAUGAGCAAGACAUCACAUAAUUUACAGUAAAUGUACUUGUUUUCAGUGUAUUUUCCAGCAUACUUAAAUGUAGCAAAUUGUACAUCAGAAUUAAGAGUUACAAAGUGAGUGAUAAGAAUAUCUACUUCAUGUUUUCUUUAUCUUCCUGUUUAUUUACACGGACCCGUCCGACUCCUCCACUGGCCUUCGUCUGCAAUCAUAACAGAGAGGUGUGAUUGCCCUGAUGCAUGGGUUGAUUACGCAAAAAAAUUUAAUGCAAUUAAUUAAAUAUUUAAAUGAGUUACCGCAGUUAAUGUGUUACAUUUGACAUCCCGAUAUAUAACAUAUAUAACAUAUUGAAAUGUAAGUGGGAUGCAGUAUUCUUAGAGUGAAAAAGUUAUUCUCCCAUUUCGUGUGGAAGUGGUAAGUUUUUGGCGUCUUAAGUUUUGACUAAAUUCAUUUUAGGUUAACUGGUUAGAUCGUUAGGUCGCUAGCUGGCAGCUGUAAACAAUGACUAAUGGUCGUGUAAAGGUAUGUUAUUUUACAAGCCUCCAAUAAUGUUGCAGAAAUUUUUUAUCGCGGCAAGGUCUGGAACCAAUUAACCGCUUUAAACCAGAGACGUUUGUAUAAUAGAACCUUUAAGGUCCAACAACAUCCCACCAUGUCCAAGUGUGGCCAUCAUAAAACCUUUAUUAUUAAUGUAGCUCAACUGUGCCGUAAGAAGCAUUUCAGGUGUAAAAUGAGUGAAGUGCUGUACUGAGGUGAUUAACGUGAAGGACUGCGUGCCUUGUUUUACUGUAGUUCAAUGUGUGUGUAUGUGUGUGUGUGUGUAUGUGCUGUAAAUGUAAUGUUGAGCUUCCAUGGCCAGGGGCCUCUCCGUGUAAAUGCAUUUAGUUCCGCUGGCAGGGCUGCCGUGGCCAGAUAGCACUUGGCACUGGCGCUUUCUUCAAUCACGUCAAGUGCCGUUGGAAUGCCCUUGCAUGAGAAUGAACACUUCUUGCUUUGGUUAAACACUCCUCACUCUGAACAUCUUCACAUCCCUGUUAUUGGACAUACAUGACUACCACACUACAUAACUUCACGUGUUUAUUAGCAGCUUUUACCAUUUGAAUCCAAAGCAAACAUGCACACAGUGAAACAUUGAUGGAUCAAUCCUCAUUUUUCAUCUCUUGUCAAGAUUUAGCAUCAAUAAGACACAGAAAUGAUGAUAUAAAGUAUUCUCAUGUGGGACGCCACACACAACAGACCUUUGCCCCAAGGUAAAGGUAAAGGUUGUUGCAAAUUCCGGUUUAAAAGCCCUACUUUUUUCUUUAACUUUGAACCCUGUGGGUGCAACAGGGCAGUGCAACUAAUUUAUGGCUAAAUUCGAAUCUUAUGACAUAUCCUGUACUUCAGAAGUACAACCCAUUGGACAUUGCAGAAGGUCAUUAUAUGUAACUGUAUAACAAUAUAACCGUCUCACUGUAUCAUCUUACAAAGAUCGCUAAAGUCAUCACACAGCAACUUAACACUCAAAAGGUAUGAGGGAUAUACUAACAUGUACCAAUGUGAGUUUAAAAUGACAAAAAAAUUUUUGAAAGUUUUACAAGAAUGCAUUGCGUAUGAGCAACACAUUCAUUGGAGCGCUGCAGCCUCCCUCUGGUGGGCAAAGGCAGCAUUACAGCGCCAUCCAUCCAUUAUCUGUGCUGCUUGUCCUCCAAUUAAAUGCUUUGCUCAGACAAAAUUCAUGAAAAAAAGAAUAAAAUAUCUUGUUUUAAGUGUUAAGUUGCUGUGUGAUGAGGGUAGUGUUCUUCGUAAGAUGACACCAUGAGUCAGAGCGUUAUAUUGAGUAAUUACAUCCUGAAAUUUCCAAUAGAUGGACAAGCUUGUGUUUUUUUCACAGCUCAUGAUUGGCUCCUGUCAAAUAAAGAGCUGACUGGUCCUCACAGACUUGUUUUUCCUUUAAAUUUAGUGGGUGGGGCUGAUACACCGGAUUUAAGGUACUUUCUUUUGUUGCUCCAACUUAGGAUAUACACAAAGAUGAUAUCCUGUCAUUUGUAAAUGUUGUUUGCUUUACUUGACAGCUGUCGUGUGGGAAAGUACAUGCAUUAAAAUGAUAGCAAAACACAGUGUUUCUGUGGCAUUUUAAGUGCAUCACAACAGCUCUCUGUUAGGCAGCAAAUUUCCCUACACACACAAGUUUAUUCUUGUCAGAUAGUCCCAUGGAAAAUUUGCACUGUUGCCACGGUGAUGAAGUCAUAGCAUCACUUCUAAUUCAGUGCACUUAAUGCUAGGAAUAGUGAUCAGUACCCAAACUCUGUACCAUAACAGCACCAGUCUCAAAGUAAAUGAUAGUCAUCAGACCAAAAAACAAAAUUUGCUGGUAAAUUAAUAUUUACUAUUAAUUUAGUGGUAUUGAAAUGAGGCAAAGAUGAGGUAUAUUACUGCUGGUGUUAGGAUUGAUGAUAGUUUUAUACCUGCACAGACGAUGGUGAGCAUCUUGCUAAAACGCUCAGGGCUUGUUUGGUUGGUUUCACCUCAAAAGAUGCAGACCCAGCCACCCGCAACAAUGCUUGAAGGAGAUGUUGCACAACUGAUGUUCUUUUUUCUCAAUUAAUACACGACUAUUGCAUGUACUGUAGGUUUGAUUAGCAACAACACUAGUCUAACAUUGGUUUUGUUGUGAUAUGACAAUUACUAGUGACUUCAUUACUUAUCAUUUCAUGUACACAGUGGAACCUCGGUUUGCAUGUUUUUUUGGUUAGAAUCGAAAAUAUAUGCUAACAUUUUGCCUCAGUAUGUGACUUUUUCUGAGGGCCACACACUAAAAAAAUCAAAAGGGGGCAGGGAGCCUCUUUGAUAUUUUUAAAAAAUUGGAAAAAGAAAACAUAGAAUACUGAUUGGUUCCAGAAGUUAAUUUGAAGUCGGAUUCCUUCUUUGUAAAUUGAAUAUAUAUAUUUAUAUUUUGUAGUUUACUCAUCUAAAUACUUUUUAAACAUUAUUAGAUCCCCUAGACAUGAAAUAACACCCCUAUAGCCAGUAUCGUAGAUGGAAUUAUAGUAAAUAAGCCAUUUAAGACAGUUUACCUUGUCGGGGAACAGACAGGAAGCAAUGUCGGGGGAAUUUGAGCUUGUUUUGGGCUAUGGUCGCGACAGUAACCUGUGUUAUUAUUAUCAUUAUUAUUAUUAUUGUACCUAUUGUGAGAUAAUUUCAACCUGCGAUAGAAGUUGGUUUUGCUAGUCUGGGGUUUCAGUGGUGGUCUCAAUUACUUACACCUCGUAAUCAAUGUAGUUGCUAAGUUGGUGGUCCAAAUGGCUUAUAAUGGUUUUUUACUUCAAGCUUAAUAUGGGCCAAAAAAUACAUACAAUUUGAUUGAAUAUGCACUUAUUUUUACUAAUAAUAGGCCAUUGUCAGCCACAAAACAAUGAUGAUAUAUUUAUUAAUGUUGGGAAAAAAUAGAGUGAGGAAACAACAAUGUAGUAAGGUUUUUCCUAUUCUCCCUUUUUGCCCAAUUUUUUCCAAUUUUGUUUUUUUUUGUGUUGUGAGCCAACAAGAAACAAGCUGCGAGCCGCAAAUGGCCCCUGGGGUACACUUUUGCUAGCACAACGGCGGCUACGUGUUUCUCGUACCCUUUUUGGCUCCAUUUGGGGUUAUAAUAUUGCUGUGAAAAACAAUAUUGAAUUCAAGAAGUAACUCAUGGCAAAGGCUGCAUGGCGCCCGAGUGGUUAGCGCGCAUACCUCACAGCGAGGAGACCCAAGCUCAAUCCCACCCUUGGCCAAUUCUGUGUGGAGUUUGCAUGUUCUCCCCGUGCAUGCAUGGGUUUUUUCCGGGUACUCCGGUUUCCUCCCACAUUCCAAAAAACAUGCUAGGUUAAUUGGCGACUCCAAAUUGUCCAUAGGUGUGAAUGUGAGUGUGAAUGGUUGUUUGUCUAUAUGUGUCCUGUGAUUGGCUGGCCACCAGUCCAGGGUGUACCCCGCCUCUCGCCUGAAGACAGCUGGGAUAGGCUCCAGUACCCCCGUGAUCCUUGUGAGGAUAAGCAGUAGAAAAUGAAUGAAUGAAUGAACUCAUGGCAAAACAAGAAGGUGGUGUCUCGCUUCCACAUUGUGUCUUGGAGAACAGUCACGUGUUCAAUGAAGGUAAAAGUCACCUUAAAUAUUAAUGUAUCCCUUUCAUUCAUCAUUGAUUUUUUGAUAAUUGUUUUAUGCAUGGAAAACUAUUAUUCUAAAACUAAAUAUUUUUAGCUUUCUGGAACAAAUUAAUUGGAUUGACAUUGUUUUUUUAUGGGAAAAAUAGAUUUGGUUAAUGUUUGGGGUCCGACCUUCUGGAACAAAUUAAUGACACUAACCAAGGUUCCACUGUAUUAUUGACGUAUUGAAAUUACUAUUUAAGGCAACAUUUGUAUGGUUCUUUUUUUUCACACUGGUAUCAGAUAAUACGUAAAAUGUAAGUAAACAAGAUAAAGCAACACAACUGGAAAAAUAACAUCUUUUAUGAAUAAAUUGUUAUCUGAGUCUUUUAACUUCCAACACAAGUCAUGCAGUAUCCUAGCAGCAACUCAAUGAGGUUUCAAUUGUUGUGUUUUUACUUUACAGGUCAUUGCCAGUUCCCUCAAGCCGAAGGGAAAAGAACAAUAUGUGCGGCUUCAUAUUUCACCGUGAUGUAUGCAGGAAUAUUGUAUAUCAACAGUGUGUGAGCUGCGGUGUUCCGAUUUGUCCUCAGGUGAGCUUUUGUGCUGCAAAAAAAAAACUCCUGUCAUCUUAAAGACAUUUUCAUCUGCAGCCACUGAAGAAAUAAUUUUUGUUCAUUUGGAAAAUCCGGAGAUACGCCACAAAAAUAGCUUGUGCUGGCAGUUUUUCACUAAGAAUGGACAUAAUUGAGUUUCACCUAUUCCGCCUGUGAAGCUCUGUAAAAAUCAUUUUAUAUACAUGCUGUAACCAUGUAGUAACAGGUACGCUCAUCAUAACAUGUAACUUAGUAUUUCUUAUACUAUUUAGGCCAUUUUAAGCAAUACUGGGUGCAUUGACUUCAGUUUGCUAUGGCAGACUUUGUGAAAGUCGCCGCCAACGACUAUUUCGGACCAAAUCAGGAUCCAAAACCGUAUCUUCAUGAGCCUGAACAUGCGGAAGAUGAGCUACAGGUUUUAGAAGGCUGAGCGGGCAAGAAGAGAGGGAGAAACAUUGGCCUAUGUCGGAGCCAUUGAUGGAAAGGCUUUGUUUAUCUGGCGAGGAGAGGACGCUGCUCCAAGAGACUCCAUCACAACAAAUGAAGAAUUGUCAGCGCUAACAAACCCAGCAGAGGUGGGAAGUUUUUCCACCUACACAAAAUGAACCCGGAAAAGAUGACCCAGACCAGCGGGAUCAGAUGGACUGUCACUACGGGGUUCGUACUGGAAACCCAUCCACUCUGCAGUCACGUGUUAGUAACCAGAUUGUUACUAGGCAUUUUUUUUCAUGGCGUUUAUAGGCAUAGGUGAAUCCCAAUUCUGCUCAUUCUGAGAAACUACCAGCAUGAGGUGUUUACCAAGAACACAUAGAAAAAGGGUUAUGAUGUUGGGCAAAAUGUCAUUAAAUGCACAAGGCUUUUUCUAGCAGCACCUUUUAAAGAUACAAAAUACAAUUGAAAAAGGAAUAAGAAUCUUGGUAUACAAUGAGAUACUCAGUGACAUGGCAAAAAACAAGUUGGAAUCUUCACCAUAACUUCAUUAAUUAUAGCAUAAAGAUAAUAGCAAAUAUGAAUAUACAAUGGCACCGAGCACCUGCCCUAUUAUGUCAUUCACAAUUUAAACAUAUAUGUAGUCAUGAGGGGCAGAAUUUUGUCUUCCAAUACGGCAGUGGAUAGAAUAACAGUAGUGGUGCACAUUUCGUCUUUGCAAUAGUUGUCUGGAAAAACGACACAUAUAUGCUGCUACCGCCCCUUUAAGACACACCGGUCUCAACUUUUACAACAGCGCAAGGCUCUAUCAAACUGUAUUAGCUUAGCUAAUGUGCUACAAUACAAGCACUGUGUCUUCCUGUGUAGUCACGUUAAAUUGAGCAUCCACGCGAUCGAUUCUUUUGGUUCGAUUCAUAGUGAGAGUGCGAGCAUUGUUGGACUUUAUUGGAUUCCAUGAAAUUUUGCAGGCUUUAUUAAUUUUUAAGCUUUUGGUUUCUUUCAUUUUGUCAGUCGUCUGUCGCAGUAGUCAAGUUCUAUUUCACUCCUGAUGUUGUACACGUAAUGAGCAUUUGCUUGUACAAAAAUGGCUCCCUCAGUAGUUUGCUGCUUCAAUUCGUUCCAUCCUUUAAACCCCCCACCUUCUUGUAAAAUGUUUGCAACAAUUCCCAGCAGCUGCACACACGCUGAUGAUGAAAGAAUUGAA